UGGGAUCUGGAGAUCUGCCACCUUCCUCCAGCAGAGAGCGCCCUGGGUGUCCUGAGAUGAAGCCACCUACACACCUGAGGCUGAUUCACCUGAUUAGGAGACCCACUACUUAAGCAGCGGCCAGACCUGUCUUCAGCGCCGGAGUGUUGACCAGUUUUGGAAAACCCGACUGAAGUCUGUAGCUCUGGAGGAGCUCGUGCUUGGAAACCUGCCUGCCUGCCCAGAAAAGCCAAACCUGAAGAUUCUCAGUCUGAAUUCCCCAGCUAGUUCUCAAGGGAGGACUAGGAGAACAACUCAAGGUCUGAACCUCGUUAGCCUGAAGCUAAACCCUGCCGCUGCUGAGCUCUCUGCUGAAUCCACAGUCUCUGGACCCAACCGGUUCCCUCUCUCUAUCGAUCAGUCUGAACAUCAUCAGAUUACUCUGUGAUUCCAGUCCCGGACCAGUACCAAAACCUGUUCAUUCAUAAAUCUUGUGUGCUUCUCUAAAUAAA